rnacentral:tRNA from 1 species
GUCCCCGUAGCUCAGCUGGAUAGAGCGGCGGUUUUCUAAACCGCUGGUCGCAGGUUCGAUUCCUGCCGGGGACG